rnacentral:rRNA from 1 species
AUUGAACGCUGGCGGCAGGCCUAACACAUGCAAGUCGAGCGAGCGGCGGACGGGGGAGUACUGUAUGGGGACUGCCCGAUAGAGGAGGAUCACUACUUGAAACAGUAGCUAAUACCGCAUACUAUCGGAUAACCCAUAUGGGAUUAGCUCUUAGUUGAGGUAAUGGCUCACCUAGGCGCCGAUCCCUAGCUGGUCUGAUCGGAUGAUCAGCCACACUGGGACGUAGACACGGCCCAGACGCCUACGGAGGCAGCAGUGGGGAAUAUGGCACAAUGGGCGCAAGCCUGAUGCAGCCAUGCCGCGUGUAUGAAGAAGGCCCUAGGGUUGUAAAGUACUGUCAGUCGGGAGGCGUUACCGACAGAAGAAGCACCGGCUAACUCCGUGCCAGCAGCCGCGGUAAUAC